AUUGAACGCUGGCGGCAGGCCUAACACAUGCAAGUCGAGCGGGGUUUUCGGACCUAGCGGCGGACGGGUGAGUAAUGCGUAGGAAGCUACCCGAUAGAGGGGGAUACCAGUUGGAAACGACUGUUAAUACCGCAUAAUGUCUACGGACCAAAGUGUGGGACCUUUGGGCCACAUGCUAGCGGAUGCGCCGAAGUUGGAUUAGCCAGUUGGUGGGGUAAUGGCUCACCAAGGCGAAGAUCACUAGCUUGUUUGAGAGGAUGAUCAGCCACACUGGAACUGAGACACGGUCCAGACUCCUACGGGAGGCAGCAGUGGGGAAUAUUGGACAAUGGGCGCAAGCCUGAUCCAGCCAUGCCGCGUGUGUGAAGAAGGCCUUCGGGUUGUAAAGCACUUUCAGUAGGGAGGAAGAGUUGAGUGUUAAUAGUACUCAGCUUUGACGUUACCUACAGAAGAAGCACCGGCUAACUCUGUGCCAGCCGCCGCCGUAAUAC
rnacentral:rRNA from 1 species